rnacentral:rRNA from 1 species
CCUACGGGGGGCGGCAGUGGGGAAUAUUGGACAAUGGGGGCAACCCUGAUCCAGCAAUGCCGCGUGUGUGAAGAAGGCCUGCGGGUUGUAAAGCACUUUUGUUGAGGAAGAAUGUGUUUAGGUAAAUAGCCUGAACACUUGACGUUACUCAAAGAAUAAGCACCGGCUAACUCCGUGCCAGCAGCCGCGGUAAUACGGAGGGUGCGAGCGUUAAUCGGAAUUACUGGGCGUAAAGCGUGCGUAGGCGGAUGUUUAAGUCUGUUGUGAAAUCCCCGGGCUCAACCUGGGAAUGGCAUUGGAUACUGGGCAUCUAGAGUGUGGUAGAGGGUAGUGGAAUUUCUGGUGUAGCGGUGAAAUGCGUAGAUAUCAGAAAGAACACCAAUGGCGAAGGCAACUACCUGGGCCAACACUGACGCUGAGGUACGAAAGCGUGGGGAGCAAACAGGAUUAGAUACCCUGGUAGUCCACGCCCUAAACGAUGUCGACUUGUCGUUGGGAGGGCUAAACCUUUCAGUGACGGAGCUAACGCGUUAAGUCGACCGCCUGGGGAGUACGGCCGCAAGGUUGAAACUUAAAGGAAUUGACGG